UUAGUAGUGUUAAGUAUAUUUGCAUUAUUAUGGAAGCUGUCAUUUUAAUGGACUGUUUUUCAGCCAACUUCUUUGUGAUCUAUUUACUCAUACUACAAUGCACAGCAAGACUCUUAACUUCUAUCAUCUGGACACAAAAAAGAGAGAGAGUUAGGCGAGAGGUAGGCGAGAUACAGGGCUCAAUCCCAG
rnacentral:lncRNA from 1 species